rnacentral:rRNA from 1 species
UCAGUCGACUCCUACGGGGAGGCAGCAGUGGGGAAUAUUGCACAAUGGGGGAAACCCUGAUGCAGCCAUGCCGCGUGUGUGAAGAAGGCCUUCGGGUUGUAAAGCACUUUCAGUAGGGAGGAAGGUAGUGUAGUUAACACCUGCAUUAUUUGACGUUACCUACAGAAGAAGCACCGGCUAAACUCCGUGCCAGCAGCCGCGGUAAUACGGAGGGUGCGAGCGUUAAUCGGAAUUACUGGGCGUAAAGCGCAUGCAGGCGGCCUGUUAAGUCAGAUGUGAAAGCCCGGGGCUUAACCUCGGAAUUGCAUUUGAAACUGGCAGGCUAGAGUCUUGUAGAGGGGGGUAGGAAUUUCAGGUGUAGCGGUGAAAUGCGUAGAGAUCUGAAGGAAUACCAGUGGCGAAGGCGGCCCCCUCGGACAAAGACUGACGCUCAGAUGCGAAAGCGUGGGGAGCAAACAGGAUUAGAUACCCUGGUAG